UACGUAGGGUGCGAGCGUUGUCCGGAAUUAUUGGGCGUAAAGAGCUCGUAGGCGGUCUGUCGCGUCGAUCGUGAAAACUUGGGGCUUAACCCUGAGCUUGCGGUCGAUACGGGCAUGACUGGAGUUCGGCAGGGGAGACUGGAAUUCCUGGUGUAGCGGUGAAAUGCGCAGAUAUCAGGAGGAACACCGGUGGCGAAGGCGGCGUUCUGGACUGCAACUGACACUGAGGAACGAAAGCCAGGGGAGCAAACGGG
rnacentral:rRNA from 1 species